GCCAGGCAUGGUAGCGCAUGCCUGUAGUCCCAGCUACUCAGGAGGCUGAGGCAGGAGAAUCGCUUGAACCCGGGAGGCGGAGGUUGCAGUGAGCCGAGAUCAUGCCAUUGCACUCCAGCCUGGGCUACAGAGUGAGACUCUGUCUCAA
rnacentral:SRP_RNA from 1 species